CUGAAGGGAUGUGAGUCAAUCAAGCUUAAGAAGGUAACCAAGAUUGGAGGGAGUCAAGCGAAGAAGCACUACAGUCUUCCGGGUCAGUUGCAAUGAGGGACUGGACGAGGAUGCUGGGGAUUAUCCAGAGCAGCAGCCACCACUACGCAUGUCAACCGAGGGUGCCCUGCAUACCAGGUCCCACCAGCAGUGACAUGACAUGAUUUGUGGCUCUGCACCUCGUUGCCCUCAUCGAAGAUAGUCAGGAGACCCUAGAAAGAUGCCAUUCACACCCUGGAGUGCUGUGGGCCAUGCAAGAGCAGCUGGACACAGGAGCAGCUUCCUGCCUAGACCCGGGCCGCUUCCCCAGAAAGAGGAACCAGCAGUGGUGGCUGGAGCGUCUGGCGGCGAUAAAAGGUUCUGCCUUCAGGGUUUUUUUGGCCUUAUUUUCUGUUUAAAGAAGGCAUAUUUUCUUCCUUUUAUUUUAUACAUAGGCAGCCUUACAGCAGGAGGCAAACGAGUAGACAGCAGACAAAUCUAUAUGAUGUAAUUCUGAUUGGAAAGAGCAGGGCAUAGCUCUUUUCCAAGGAGACUUGCUGCCACCGAUCAGCCGUGAGAGCGUGGACAAGCCAUUUCAUCUCUCUGGACCUCGGCCUCCUUAUUUGCUCAGGUGGGCUCUGGACUAGGUAGUGGGGUCUAGUGUUCCUUGCCUUUGUGGAAGAAAUGGUCAAUUUGAGGAGCAGCAGGCCAGCUUUGUGGGCGUGUGACCUGUGCAUUCACAUGGAGUCCUGUACUUAGAAGGGGCCAAGGCUUGGUUUAAUGCUCUGCUGUCACUCUCUUGAAAUUCAUAAUAUUUUUUGAGCAAAGAGCCUCACAUUCCAAUUACGCGCUGGGUCCUGCACAUUGUGUAGUCCUCUGCUCUUACGGACUGCAGGCUGAGGGAAUGCCAGCCCUCGGCCAAGUCAUGAGGUGGGGACGUUUGCCCCUGGACCCUUCAAUGGGUCUUUCCCAGUCCUCUUCUGUCGCUCUGGAGCUAAGGCCUCCUGCAGACACUGGGUGCUUCUCCAGGGCCCGCCAUCAUGUCCUCCUGCCUCUGCCUGUCUAUGGCUCCACCCCACCUGGCACCAACGCUUGUUCCAGCUCCUUUUAGUGAACCCAGCUCUGUGCUGACCCGUGCUAGGGGCUUAGCGAAUGAUCGUUGACUCAGUGGUUGACUAAAUACGUAGUUGACUUGUGCACAAGUGAAAGCAGCCCAGCGAAGGGGCGCUGGUCUGGGAGUCAGACCUGGGCUCUCCUCACGUCACUUUCCUGAGCCUCCUUUUCUUAAGCAGCAAGAGAGGGGCUUGGGGAGAUGGUUGGUGCUCUCCCCCAGCACUGCCACUCAGAGACAGGCCUCGUCAACACCUCUAAAAUAAUGUCGCCAGGUCCGGCUGACACAUAGACUUGUCCUGGAGGAAAUCACCUCAACUGACCAAGUGACCAGAGGCCACAUAUUCUCCUCCAGCAGACCUGUGGGGACAUACACUUCAGAAGGGGAGUGGGGACACACCGCAGGGCUUGAGGAGAAGGAUUAGGGAGGAGAUAAAGGUGGUGUCGAGAGGAGAGGAAGUUCCUAAAUUCCAUUUUGAAGUCAAUUUGCAAAAACAGAGACUUGGAGAGUACUCUGCCCCCCCACCCUCGCCCCCGCUCCCGGGCAAGAAACACCUAGAUUGUGAGAGACAGGAAACGUCUAUGUAGAAUUCCAUUUUUCAAAGACGGGAUCUGGAAGGUCACAGCCCGGUCUCCUGCUCUCAGGUACUGGAAGCUGAGUUGAUGCCCCCAGUGGCUCCAAGCAGGCUGGGCAGACACGAUUCUGAUUGGUUCUUUACUUACAAUAUCAAUCAUUCUACUGUUGAGGUUUGAAAGUGGAGCCAGAGAGCAGUUACUAGCAAAACCAUCUCCUUUAUUCCGAGGGGAUUAUUCGUGGAAAUUCUUGCUUUUAAGUGUAUUGACAGUGUCUCCUUACCGGUAGGGCCUCAGAUGUGGUUCGCUCCAGGGGGUGCUGUCAACUCCUUUAGUUUUCUUGGCUUAUGAAAAAGCUCUUCCAGCCUCCCAAACGGUCACCUCCCCUGACCUCUGGGGGAAAAGAGGUCUUUUCUCAGAGAGUUUGGACUGAGAGGGGGCUACACUGGGGGAAGAAGAACUGUUUCUUGGUUUCCUGAGUUAAGUCUGCAGACGUUUGAAAGUCAAGGCUGAAAUAUCACAAGAAGCAGUGGACUGUCCGUCCACCAAGAGACCCCCCAGAAGGGAAUUGCCAUGGUGAAUGGGCCAUCAUCCAAGUUUUGGACUCUGCCUUGUGGGCUCGGACAUAUGCUCUCCUCGCUGUCUCAGCCCUGAUCAGUCCACUCAGGCUGACAGAGUUUGCAAGAGACCAACUCCAAGCCUGAAUGUCCAUGUGCUGAUCGAAAGUAAGAAAUUAUGACUGCCAGAUGGACUGCACGUUCAGGCACUCUCUCUCUGCAGACGAGGUUCACAGAAAGGCAGACGAAAAUCAAAACGUCUCCUGAUGAGCAUGAGCAAGGGGAAAGAGGAGUUAGUUACAGCAUGUGGGUUUCGUUUAAUGGCACCAGAUUCCAACAGCCCUAUAACCAGGAGGGAAGAAUCCUGCCAGAUAGAACAGAGCUUGUGAGACCCUGACAAGGCUCCUUCUCCCAGCACAGUGCUUGGGAGAGCUCUGCCAGUGACGACCUCUAUGGGGCUUCCAUGACUGACCAACUUCCUCCUGAUUGACAUGGUCUUUCUUAAGCUAUGUUAAUGCCAUUGGGUCUUGUUUGAAUGGGAACCAGGCUUCCUAAGCUAGCUGUUGCAGAUCAGCUUCUCUGGAAAGCAGACUCGGAGACAGAGAUUUGUGUGCAGGGAGCUUUAUUGGGGAGAACUCUUGGGAUCAACACCUGUGGUGGAAUGAAGGAAGCAGGUUUGGGAAAAGCGAGUUGAACUGUGAUGCGGAUGUGACAAAGGUCUCAUCCAGUCCCAUCGGAGGCCCUGGAGCUGGAACAGUCCCUUAGAGUUGUUUUGUGUCAAGGUAAAGGGCCCAGGCUUCGUGCCGUGAGUCCAUCAUUGGAUGUGGGUUACCUUUGGGAAGCGGUCAAGAUUUUGGAUGAGACAGCUCCUCUCUUCAACUGAGAGCAAGUCCUAGAGGAAAACUCAUCUGAGCCAUCACAUGCCAACCCUCCUGCAGCCAGGGCAAUCGGUGCCUCAGUCUUACAAAUGACACCAGUUAGGUCCACACUGACUUGUGACUAUGAGCUGAUUCACAGUGACUCCUGGGCCCCACACAAUGCCAGCCAUAUCAGUGCAGCGGCAUGUGAAAUGAGAGUCAGAAAUGGCCGCAUGGAAUUUCAUUCAUUUGAAACCUUAUUAUUAGUUCUUAUUGCCUUAGGAAACCUCAGGGAUGAUAAAUCCACAUGGUGGGGUGAACAUAUGGCCAUCACAUCCAGUGAUGCGGUCAGAAUCUGGCUCAUUGUCACACCAGCCAUGCACCCCCUCUCCUGCCAUGCAGAAGGACCAUUGUCCCUGACCCCUAUACUCUUCCAUUCUUCUGUGUCUUUCCACCUGCAGCUCCCUCUGCCUGGAUGCUCUCUGCCUCCCCUUGCCCCACCUCCAGCUGAUAAACUUUCACUCAUCUUUCAGGGUCCACUGUGAAUGUUACCUUCUCUUGGAAACCUCUCCUGGCCAGCUUUCCCCAAUACCCAGCAGAAUUGCUCAUGCCAUCUCUGGGCCCCCAGAGCACCUGCUGUCCCUGCAGCUCUUUGGGGGUCUGCUGGUCUGUCUUCCUUCUGCUGAGCUCCUUAAGGCUCGGGACUGGAUCUCACCCCGUCUGUAUCUCUGAGCACAGGGCAAUACAGACUCUAUGGAUGAGCUGGAUGGAUGAAGGAGGGAACUUUGAAAGCUUUUGAGUCAGGAAUGUAGGAGAGAAGUCAGGCUGCAGAAGAGGCAUGGGGGGUUGACCUGGAAAGAGGUCAUGUCAGGAGGCCCAGCAAGGAAGCCACUCAUCCUUCUUCACCCGUGCUGCCCUGUUUCACCUGAAACCUUCUGUAAAUAUGCCCUCUCCUGGGCCCACAGGUGGCCCCGCCCUCGUCUCUCUACCCCACGCCCAGUGCUGAGCUGCAGCUACCAGCAGUCAGUGCCCCAUCAAAAUGAGUUGAACAAAUGAACAAAUCCAGAAUUUGGGGAUAAAGGCCAGGUUUGGGAUGUGGUGGCAGGGAUGGGGUGGGGAGGGUUAACUUAAAAGCUAUUUUGAAAGCAGAAAUGACACGACUUGGAUGACAGGCUGUAGCAGCUUGAGAAUAAAGAGCACAAUGUGUCACAGGUAAAGGCAGAGUUUGAAGACCGGAAGAAUCAAGUCAGUCAGGUUUGGAUGUAGAGUAUGGUCAGCUCAAAUGGUCCUUAUACUGGGUAUGAAUAUUUGUCAGUAAAGUGGCACUGUGGUUGGGAGAAAAUGUGAAACUAAUAUGGGAGAGCAGAGAGGAGCCUGACGCACAGAUCAGGCGAGUACUCCUGUUCAACUCGUGAUGCUUCGCUUCAAAUACUACAAGGAACUUUUCAAGAUCUUUUAAACGUGAUGCGCUUCUAAUCAGAAAUGACACUUAAUUGUGAGUCGGCAAGGCCUGCCGAGACUGCUCUGGCCGCUCAGUGGCUGUCACACCUGUGUCAUUGAAAUGUCCACUAGGUGGCGGAAGCGACUCACUUGCCUCCCUGCAGAGCGCCUGCUUUUUGAGAGACUACAAAAUUAGCCCCACGUGAUAGUCCAGCUCUAUAAAAACAGAGUCCUCCUUGUGAAAAAACAAUGCAAAACUUCAUUAUAUAAAACAGUGGAAAAUUUACCAACGAUAUGUAUAAAGGGUGGAAAACCCAUUCAGAAUAAUAUACAGACACAUCUAAUGACUUCUAAUCAGGCACUAUUCUAACCUGACUUUUCCUUAAGAACUCCUAUUUCAAGGGGUUCUAGCAGGCUCUCUUUCAGAGUUCUGUCUGUCUGUCUCAGCUUCUGUCCUAUGAUUUUGUGGAGUUUAUUUCUGCCUUUUCCUGAGGUUUGAAAAAAACUGUGCAGUCUCUUUCUUCCUACGUAGAUCUUCACACAAAACGGGCAAAGCUUUGCUGUAUGGGUUACUUGAUCAACCAUUUGAAGAUGGACAAAAAAAGACUUUUUCUUUCUUUGGCGAGGAAGAUUGGCCCUGAGCUAAUAUCUGUUGCCAAUCUUCCUCUAUUUUACCCGGGACACCGCCACAGCGUGGCUUGACGAGUGGGGUAGGUCUGCCCCCAGAAUCCGAACCUAGGAACCCUGGGUCGGAGAAGUGGAGUGGGCAAACUUAACCACUACGCCACCAGGCUGACUCCGCAAAAGACUUUUUAAGCUGCCUGAACAUAAGUACUGAUGUUUUGGAGCUCGGGCAAGCCAUAGAACCUCUCUGAUCUCAGCUUUCUCACCUGUAAAAUGUGGGUUGUCAUAACACCGCCCUCAUGGGGUUGUUUUAAGAUUGGAUAAGAAGAGGACAAGGAGACACUCCGAAAAUUGCAAAUCACUCUAUCAAUGUUGUGGAUGAAUAUAUCUCUUUAGAAAAGAUGCUGCCCGGAAGAGAAACCGUCUAGUUAAUUUUAAUAAGCAAGCUGGCUUUGGGGGGUUAGCUCACAAGUGUGACGAUUGUGGAACAAUCCAUGC
ensembl:lncRNA